rnacentral:rRNA from 1 species
GACGAACGCUGGCGGCAGGCCUAACACAUGCAAGUCGAACGAGUGGCGGACGGGUGAGUAAUGUCUGGGAAACUGCCCGAUGGAGGGGGAUAACUACUGGAAACGGUAGCUAAUACCGCAUACCAUCGGAUGUGCCCAGAUGGGAUUAGCUAGUGGGGGGGGUAAAGGGUAACCUGGGCGACGAUCCCUAGCUGGUCGGAGAGGAUGACCAGCCACAUUGGAACGUGGACACGGUCAAGAGUCCUACGGGCGGCAGAGGUGGGAAUGAUUGGACAAGGGGCGCAAGCCGGAUGCAGCCAUGCGGCGUGUAGGAGUAAGGCCUUCGGGUUGUAAGGUACUUUAAGCGAGGAGGCGUUACUCGCAGAGGAAGCGCCGGCUAACUCCGUGCCAGCAGCCGCGGUAAUUC